rfam:Synechococcus sp. CC9311, complete genome.
ACAACGGAGAGUUUGAUCCUGGCUCAGGAUGAACGCUGGCGGCGUGCUUAACACAUGCAAGUCGAACGAACCUUCGGGUUAGUGGCGGACGGGUGAGUAACGCGUGGGAAUCUGCCCUCAGGAGGGGGAUAACGGUUGGAAACGGCCGCUAAUACCCCAUAUGCCGAGAGGUGAAAUGAAUUUCGCCUGAGGAUGAGCCCGCGUCUGAUUAGCUAGUUGGUGAGGUAAGAGCUCACCAAGGCAUCGAUCAGUAGCUGGUCUGAGAGGAUGAUCAGCCACACUGGGACUGAGACACGGCCCAGACUCCUACGGGAGGCAGCAGUGGGGAAUUUUCCGCAAUGGGCGAAAGCCUGACGGAGCAACGCCGCGUGAGGGAUGAAGGCCUCUGGGCUGUAAACCUCUUUUAUCAAGGAAGAAGAUCUGACGGUACUUGAUGAAUAAGCCACGGCUAAUUCCGUGCCAGCAGCCGCGGUAAUACGGGAGUGGCAAGCGUUAUCCGGAAUUAUUGGGCGUAAAGCGUCCGCAGGCGGCCCUACAAGUCUGCUGUUAAAAAGUGGAGCUUAACUCCAUCAUGGCAGUGGAAACUGUUGGGCUUGAGUGUGGUAGGGGCAGAGGGAAUUCCCGGUGUAGCGGUGAAAUGCGUAGAUAUCGGGAAGAACACCAGUGGCGAAGGCGCUCUGCUGGGCCAUCACUGACGCUCAUGGACGAAAGCCAGGGGAGCGAAAGGGAUUAGAUACCCCUGUAGUCCUGGCCGUAAACGAUGAACACUAGGUGUCGGGGGAAUCAACCCCUCCGGUGUCGUAGCCAACGCGUUAAGUGUUCCGCCUGGGGAGUACGCACGCAAGUGUGAAACUCAAAGGAAUUGACGGGGGCCCGCACAAGCGGUGGAGUAUGUGGUUUAAUUCGAUGCAACGCGAAGAACCUUACCAGGGUUUGACAUCCUGCGAAUCUCUUGGAAACUUGAGAGUGCCUUCGGGAGCGCAGUGACAGGUGGUGCAUGGCUGUCGUCAGCUCGUGUCGUGAGAUGUUGGGUUAAGUCCCGCAACGAGCGCAACCCACGUCUUUAGUUGCCAGCAUUUAGUUGGGCACUCUAGAGAGACCGCCGGUGAUAAACCGGAGGAAGGUGUGGAUGACGUCAAGUCAUCAUGCCCCUUACAUCCUGGGCUACACACGUACUACAAUGCUACGGACAAAGGGCAGCAAGUUCGCGAGGACAAGCAAAUCCCAUAAACCGUGGCUCAGUUCAGAUCGUAGGCUGCAACUCGCCUACGUGAAGGAGGAAUCGCUAGUAAUCGCAGGUCAGCAUACUGCGGUGAAUACGUUCCCGGGCCUUGUACACACCGCCCGUCACACCAUGGAAGUUGGCCACGCCCGAAGCCGUUACUCCAACCCUUGUGGAGGAGGACGUCGAAGGUGGGGCUGAUGACUGGGGUGAAGUCGUAACAAGGUAGCCGUACCGGAAGGUGCGGCUGGAUCACCUCCUAA